CUGGUUGGCAGCUUCCGUGGUGUUCGUGAUCAGGUUCAUUCGCUUACUCACGGAAAAGGAAUCGAAGGAGAGUGAAGCGAAGGAACCAGAUGACGAACGCCACUGAAGCAGCCAUGAG
rnacentral:pre_miRNA from 1 species